rnacentral:rRNA from 1 species
GAUGAACGCUGGCGGCGUGCCUAAUACAUGCAAGUCGAGCGAACAGACGAGGAGCUUGCUCCUCUGACGUUAGCGGCGGACGGGUGAGUAACACGUGGAUAACCUACCUAUAAGACUGGGAUAACUUCGGGAAACCGGAGCUAAUACCGGAUAAUAUAUUGAACCGCAUGGUUCAAUAGUGAAAGACGGUUUUGCUGUCACUUAUAGAUGGAUCCGCGCCGCAUUAGCUAGUUGGUAAGGUAACGGCUUACCAAGGCAACGAUGCGUAGCCGACCGGAGAGGGUGAUCGGCCACACUAGAACUGAGACACGGUCCAGACUCCUACGGGAGGCAGCAGUAGGGAAUCUUCCGCAAUGGGCGAAAGCCUGACGGAGCAACGCCGCGUGAGUGAUGAAGGUCUUCGGAUCGUAAAACUCUGUUAUUAGGGAAGAACAAAUGUGUAAGUAACUAUGCACGUCUUGACGGUACCUAAUCAGAAAGCCACGGCUAACUACGUG